CUUGUCAUGUGAUUUGUACAACCACUAUCAAUGAGCCAGCUAUCACUUUAAAUGCUGGAUGUAAAGCAAGAUGCAACAAAUAGUUUUUCUACUUCUUGUUGAUCUGCAACUUGAGUGUCUCCCUACUCCUAUAUCUCUUUUUCCUUACAAAUAAUCUCUGCAUGCCCAAGCUUUUGACAUUUUCUGCAUUUCAUAUCUAGCU
rnacentral:lncRNA from 1 species